AAUAGAUACCCUGGUAGUCCACGCCGUAAACGAUGAGUGCUAAGUGUUAGGGGUUUCCGCCCCUUAGUGCUGCAGCUAACGCAUUAAGCACUCCGCCUGGGGAGUACGGCCGCAAGGCUGAAACUCAAAGGAAUUGACGGGGGCCCGCACAAGCGGUGGAGCAUGUGGUUUAAUUCGAAGCAACGCGAAGAACCUUACCAGGUCUUGACAUCUCCUGACCGCCCUGGAGACAGGGUCUUCCCUUCGGGGACAGGAUGACAGGUGGUGCAUGGUUGUCGUCAGCUCGUGUCGUGAGAUGUUGGGUUAAGUCCCGCAACGAGCGCAACCCUUGUCCUUAGUUGCCAGCAUUCAGUUGGGCACUCUAAGGAGACUGCCGGCUAAAAGUCGAAGGAAGGUGGGGAUGACGUCAAAUCAUCAUGCCCCUUAUGACCUGGGCUACACACGUGCUACAAUGGGCGGUACAGAGGGUCGCGAACCCGCGAGGGGAGCCAAUCCCAAAAACCGCUCUCAGUUCGGAUUGCAGG
rnacentral:rRNA from 1 species